UCCCCAGUGGUCGAGUCGUUAGGACUCUGUGCUUAUACUGCAGGGGGUUCAGGUUCGAUCCCUGGUCAGGGAA
rnacentral:tRNA from 1 species